rnacentral:rRNA from 1 species
UACGUAGGGACCAAGCGUUGUCCGGAAUCAUUGGGCGUAAAGCGCGCGUAGGUGGCUUCGUAAGUCCGUUGUGAAAGUCAAAGGCUCAACCUUUGAAAGCCGAUGGAUACUGCGGGGCUAGAGUACGGAAGAGGCGAGUGGAAUUCCUGGUGUAGCGGUGGAAUGCGCAGAUAUCAGGAGGAACACCAAUAGCGAAGGCAGCUCGCUGGGACGUUACUGACACUGAGGCGCGAAAGCGUGGGGAGCGAACAGG